CGUGAAGUUGGAAUCGCUAGUAAUCGCGGAUCAGCAUGCCGCGGUGAAUACGUUCCCGGGCCUUGUACACACCGCCCGUCACACCAUGAGAGUCGGGAACACCCGAAGUCCGUAGCCUAACUGCAAAGGGGGCGCGGCCGAAGGUGGGUUCGAUAAUUGGGGUGAAGUCGUAACAAGGUAAC
rnacentral:rRNA from 1 species